rfam:Tupaia chinensis contig25954, whole genome shotgun sequence.
GUGCUUGCUUCGGCAGCACAUAUACCAAAAUGGGACUGAGACAGAGAAGAUGAGCAUGGCCCCUGUGCAAGGCUGACCUGCAAAUUCAUGGAGGGUUCCAUAUUUUU